AGGUCACCUGCCAAGAUGGUUCGCUACUCUCUUGACCCAGAAAACCCCACAAAAUCAUGCAAAUCAAGAGGGUCAAACCUUCGUGUUCACUUUAAGAACACCAGGGAAACUGACCAGGCCAUCAAGGGUAUGCAUCCACAAAGCUACCAAGUAUCUGAAGGAUGUCACUUUAAAGAAGCAAUGUGUGCCAUUCUGGCGGUAUAAUGGUGGAGUUGGUAGGUGCGCCCAGGCCAAACAGUGGGGCUGGACACAGGGUCAGUGGCCAAAAAAGAGUGCUGAAUUUUUGCUGCACAUGCUUAAAAAUGCAAAGAGUAACGCUGAACUUAAGGGUUUAGACGUAAAUUCUCUAGCCAUUGAACACAUCCACAUUGAACAAGGCACCUAAGAUGCGCUGAUGAACCUACAGAGCUCAUGGCCGGAUUAACCCAUACAUGAGCUGAAUAAAAGAUAGAAAAACAUUCCAACCAAGUUGACAUGAGAAGCAAGCUGCUAUAGCCAUUUUAAUAUCUGACAAGAUAAACUUCAAAUCAAAACUAGUCAGAAG
rnacentral:lncRNA from 1 species